ensembl:lncRNA
GGGAGAUCAGAAGCAAAAGAGAAACAGAAUUCAGCCAAACUGCACUGGCUAGGCACAAAGCUAAGCCAAUAUGUGAGAAAGAAGAUGAGAGUAUGCAGCUGGGGUACCCCAAAGUGAGACAGGUUAAGGUAUCCACUUUUCACAGUAUUUUUUGCAUAUCACACUUGGUUUCUUGGGACUAAAAUUCCCUUCAUUGCUAAGGGUUUCCUUGUUAAUAGCUUGCCUGCAUGGGUCAGUUUGCCGUUUGCCUCUUACGAUUUACGAGCUUUUGUAAUCUUAACAACCUCGGGGUUAACACAUAAAUAUAUCUCACCAGAUAUUCUCUUCAAGAACAUUUAUGGAUACAUUUGAAGAUGAUGUUUCUACUUUCUAGCUUUGACUGCUGAGCUGUAUUGGUAAGAAGGUGGUGUAAAAGGAGAAAGGCUUUUUUUUUAGCAAGGUAGUGGAUGACAGCUGAAGAAUCUGCUGCUUUUGACUAAAGAUGGCACUAUUCCUUUACUCAGAAAAGGCAUGAGAAAAGUUGUUAACAGGUGUGUAUACGGUGUUAUAGUAUCUAAUAAUUAAUACUAUUCUGCUAGUAAUUAGAAGAUUAUUCUUGCUUUGGG